AGGUUACCAAUUGCGGCGUGGCAUUUGCUACAAGGCCUUCUACACACGGAAGACCUUCAUUGAUGCAGCCGCGACCUGUCGUCAAGAUGGUGGCACCCUCCCCAAGCCCAAAGACGCUGGAACCAACGCCUUCCUGGUCUCCCUAUACAAGUUCGCGGACGAUAUAAACAGUGCCAUCUGGUUGGCACUGCAGAGCCAGAAAGGGCGCUACAUGUGGGUGGAUGGUUCUCCUCUUGGAACGUUUUCCCCGUGGUACUAUUGGUUUCACCUAGCACAAGCUGCAGACCACAAGGAUGCCACAAAUUGCGCAGUUCUCGACAAAAGAGGGGAGUGGGUCGACCUGCCAUGUCACUGGGAAAGGGGCUUUAUCUGCCAGGUCAAAGGACGUCCAUAGCCGCCAGGCAGACAGACAGAUGUACAACGGAUCCUUGACAACUUGAAAGUCGACAACUCACAUUUAAAAUGAAAAGGUUAAAAUUCAAUCAAUGGGCUGAAGUUUUCAAAUCACUCGAAGACAUGAUCAUGACGCCCAAUUGACUGUACAAUCAUGAUGAGAAAUAACUACUUCCAACUGUACUGUUGUAACGGUGUACAAUGUAUUGGUAAUCACCAUAUUGUCGAGUCUUACAGAAAAUAUAAAGAGUGAAUAUUGUUUCUAUGGUUACGGCGAUCAAUGUGCAUACAGAAGUUGAACACACACCAUUGCCAGUUGACUAACCCUCUGCUGUAGUGCUUGUACGCGUUUUGAGUCCUUAGGAUUCUAAAAGUCAUAAUCGUACGGAAGAGGUAUGUGUACAUUAUCAUUUAUAAUUUUGUUCUGAGAUUUUUCUCAGAAUAGUUCUCAUUAGAAAGUAAUAAAAAUUAUUUCUUUUACUUAUUUAUACAUUUAAUUAGACAUCUUACUUAGACAACUAAUUUAGACAUCGUAUGUGAUUCUUCAGGGCUUAGAGUUUUUCAAAAAUAGUUGCAACAUUUUCAAAAUGGUAGAGUUGACAAUUGCCCUCAAAGGUAUGUAGCGAGUCCUGCUGUAUGGUCUGUUUCUGUAUAUUAACAAUUUUACGGCUGGAAGCCGGUAGUUCUUUUGUUAAAAGUCAUCUGUGUAGGACGUUCUGACAGACUUUCUUACCAGGAAACUAAUAACAAACUAUCUAAAAAUUGUUUGAAUCAUAAUAUUUUGAACAUGGACAAAUGGUAACUCGAGAAUGAAAUGUUUUGAAAGCAAAGUAUGCAUUUUAUAGAAAUGUUUUGAACAUACUGAAAAACGGAAAGAAAUAAGCAGAAAGUGUAACAAAGAUUCAAUAUCUUUAAAACAGUUACCUAUCUCUGAUUUCUAGAUGAAUCAUAUUUUGGUUUGAUAAAACAACAAACACCCAAGGGGUAAUGUAAAAUUGAAUUAAUUUUGACUGCAUUGCAUGCUUAUUUAGCCAAUAAAACUCAUGUAAAUUUCAA